AAUCAACGCUGGCGGCGUGCCUAACACAUGCAAGUCGAACGAGAAAGCGGGGGCAACUCCGUGAGUAAAGUGGCGACCGGGUGAGUAACACGUGGCUAACCUGCCCUUGAGUGGGGGAUAACCUCGGGAAACCGGGGCUAAUACCGCAUAACAUCACGAGGUGAAAUUCCUUGUGAUCAAAGGAGCAAUUCGCUUAAGGAGGGGGUCGCGGCUGAUUAGCUAGUUGGUGAGGUAACGGCUCACCAAGGCGAUGAUCAGUAGCCGGCCUGAGAGGGCGCACGGCCACACUGGAACUGAAACACGGUCCAGACUCCUACGGGAGGCAGCAGUGGGGAAUUUUGCGCAAUGGGGGAAACCCUGACGCAGCAACGCCGCGUGGAGGAUGAAGUCCCUUGGGAUGUAAACUCCUUUCGAUCGGGACGAUUAUGACGGUACCGGAAGAAGAAGCACCGGCUAACUCUGUGCCAGCCGCCGCAGUAAGAC
rnacentral:rRNA from 1 species